AUUGAACGCUGGCGGCAGGCCUAACACAUGCAAGUCGAGCGGAGCGGCGGACGGGCGCGUAAUGCCUAGGAAUCUGCCUGGUCGUGGGGGAUAACGUAAGGACACGAGAGCUAAUACCGCAUAGUAUUAGCUGUGACUAAGUCGGAUUAGCUAGUUGGUGGGGUAAAGGCCUACAAAGGCGACGAUCCGUAACUGGUCUGAGAGGAUGAUCAGUCACACUGGAACUGAGACACGGUCCAGACUCCUACGUGAGGCAGCAGUGGGGAAUAUUGGACAAUGGGCGAAAGCCUGACCCAGCCAUGCCGCGUGUGUGAAGAAGGUCUUCGGAUUGUAAAGCACUUUAAGUUGGGAGGCGUUACCAACAGAAUAAGCACCGGCUAACUUCGUGCCAGCAGCCGCGGUAAUAC
rnacentral:rRNA from 1 species